UGUUGUGAAAUUUAUACUACUCCCUCAAUCUCUGCUUCAAAAUAUUUGCCAGUUGAUGGGACAAAACUCACUCUGCAAAAUUUUCCAUUUCUUCUGGUUUACUGUUCAGUCCAUGACCAUUUUUUAUGCAAUUACUAUACAAGACAGCCCAGCAGAUCCCAUGAGGAGGAGUCCAGUGCUACUUCUACCAGAGGGUUGACAAAGCAGAGCAAAAUCACACUAGCAACAAGAACACAGGGGACUAUAAACUACUGUGGUGAGAGGUCAUGCUCCUGUCAUGUAUUUUAUUUGCCAACUGGAUACUAGAGACUAUAAUGACUGCACAUAAUUAAGAGCCAUCAGUGGUGGGUGGAAUAACUGUUUCAUAUUUUUAUCCUGCGUGAUAUUACUGCUGAGAGCUGAACUAUUACUUUUGUGCUCCAUUGGCAGCUGCUAAACUUAAUGAUGCGAAAUAAAUUGUCCCCUCUGGAAAAAACUAGUGGUUUUGUUUUGUUGGUUUUGUUUUGUUUUUGUUUUGUUGUGUU